rnacentral:rRNA from 1 species
GACGAACGCUGGCGGUGGGCUUAACACAUGCAAGUCGAACGGAAAGGCCCUGCUUUUUUGCGGUGCUCGAGUGGCGAACGGGGGAGUAACACGUGUGUAACCUGCUCUUGACUUUGGGAUAACUUCAGGAAACUGGGGCUACUAUCGGAUAGGAGCUCCUGCUGCAUGGUGGGCGUUGGAAAGUCUCGGCGGGUGGGGAUGGACGCGCGGCUUAUCGGCUUGUUGGUGGGGUAGUCGCUUACCAAGCCUUUGACGGGUAGCCCGCCUGAGUGGGUGAACGGCCACAAUGGUGCUGGGAUACGCACCAGACGCCUAUGGGGGACAGCAGUCGCGAGUAUUACACAGUGAGACCAAGCCUGAUGAAGCGACGUCGGGUGCGUGAUGACGGCCUUCGGGGUAUAAACCGCUUUAGCUUAAGACGGAGCGUGGCUGACGGUAAUGAAUAAAGAAGCACCGGCUAACUACGUG